rnacentral:misc_RNA from 1 species
GCAAACUUGGUCAUUUAGAGGAAGUAAAAGUCGUAACAAGGUUUCCGUAGGUGAACCUGCGGAAGGAUCAUUAGUGAUUCGGCCUCCGGGCCUUAUACCUUUCCAUACCUCUGUGAACCUGUUGGCCCUCGGGCUGCCUUUCAAACAAUGUGUAACGAACGUGAAAAUAUGAUAACCUAAUAAAACUUUCAACAACGGAUCUCUUGGCUCUCGCAUCGAUGAAGAACGCAGC